rfam:Pan troglodytes isolate Yerkes chimp pedigree #C0471 (Clint) chromosome 2A, whole genome shotgun sequence.
GCCAGGUGUGGUGGUGUGCGCCUGUAAUCCCAGCUACUCGGGAGGCUGAGGCAGGAGAAUUGCUUGAACUCGGGAGCCAGAGACUGCAGUGAGCUGAUAAUCGUGCCACUGCACUCUAGCCCGGGCGACAGAGCAAGACUCUGUCUCAA